rnacentral:rRNA from 1 species
CGGCAACAGCUCAAAUUUGAAAGCUAGCCUUCGGGUUCGCAUUGUAAUUUGUAGAGGAUGAUUUGGGGAAGCCGCCUGUCUAAGUUCCUUGGAACAGGACGUCAUAGAGGGUGAGAAUCCCGUAUGUGACAGGAAAUGGCACCCUAUGUAAAUCUCCUUCGACGAGUCGAGUUGUUUGGGAAUGCAGCUCUAAAUGGGAGGUAAAUUUCUUCUAAAGCUAAAUAUUGGCGAGAGACCGAUAGCGCACAAGUAGAGUGAUCGAAAGAUGAAAAGCACUUUGGAAAGAGAGUUAAAAAGCACGUGAAAUUGUUGAAAGGGAAGCGCUUGCAAUCAGACUUGUUUAAACUGUUCGGCCGGUCUUCUGACCGGUUUACUCAGUUUGGACAGGCCAGCAUCAGUUUCGGCGGCCGGAUAAAGGCUCUGGGAAUGUGGCCUCCACUUCGGUGGAGGUGUUAUAGCCCAGGGUGUAAUACGGCCAGCCGGGACUGAGGUCCGCGCUUCGGCUAGGAUGCUGGCGUAAUGGUUGUAAGCGACCCGUCUU